rnacentral:rRNA from 1 species
UACGGAGGGGGCUAGCGUUGUUCGGAAUUACUGGGCGUAAAGCGCACGUAGGCGGCUUUGUAAGUUAGAGGUGAAAGCCUGGAGCUUAACUCCAGAAUUGCCUUUAAGACUGCAUCGCUUGAAUCCAGGAGAGGUGAGUGGAAUUCCGAGUGUAGAGGUGAAAUUCGUAGAUAUUCGGAAGAACACCAGUGGCGAAGGCGGCUCACUGGACUGGUAUUGACGCUGAGGUGCGAAAGCGUGGGGAGCAAACAGG